UGUGUGUGCGUGUGCGUGUGCG
rnacentral:misc_RNA from 1 species